rnacentral:rRNA from 1 species
AAUGAACGUUGGCGGCAUGGAUUAGGCAUGCAAGUCGAGCGAGAAGUGUAGCAAUACACGGAAAGCGGCGGAAGGGAGAGUAAUACGUGGGAAUCUGCCCUUAGACCUGGGAUAGCAACGGGAAACUGCUGGUAAUACCAGAUAAUGUCUAUGGACCAAAGGUGUUAUUCCGUCUAGGGAUGAGCCCACGUCCUAUUAGCAAGUUGGUAGGGUAAUGGCCUACCAAGGCGAUGAUGGGUAGCGGUUGUGAGAGCAUGACCCGCCUCACUGGGACUGAGACACUGCCCAGACACCUACGGGUGGCUGCAGUCGAGAAUCUUCGGCAAUGGGCGCAAGCCUGACCGAGCGAUGCCGCGUGCGGGAUGAAGGCCUUCGGGUUGUAAACCGCUGUCGAGGGGGAGCAACUUCCAUAGAGUUAUCUUUAUGGAUUGAGUGAUCCCUGGAGGAAGGACGGGCUAAGUUCGUGCCAGCCGCCGCAGUAAUAC